AACGAACGCAUGGCACGGCGUGCUUAACACAUGCAAGUCGCGUAAGCGCAGUUUCCGUAGCAAUACGGGGAUGGGCGCACGGCGCACGGAGUGACGUAACACGUGGGCAAUCUGCCCUCCGAUGGGGAAUACCCCCGCGAAAGCGGGACUAAUUCCGCAUAAACAUAUCACUUGGAUUAACUUUCGAGGAUUCAAAGCAAGACAAUGCGUCGGAGGAGGAGCCCGCGCCCCGAUUAGCUAGUUGGUGAGGUAACGGCUCCACCAAGGCAAUGAUCGGUAGCUGGUCUGAGAGGAUGGCCAGCCACACUGGAACUGAGACACGCCGUCACAGACUCCUACGGGAGAGCAGCAGUGGGGAAUCUUGCACAAUGGGCGAAAGCCUAGAAUGCAGCGACGCCACGCGUGGGGGAUGAAGCUUAUUCGGAGUGUAAACCCCUUUCGACUGGGACGAAUGCACUCGCAAGACAAGGAGUGACGGUACCAGUAUAAGAAGCCCACGGCUAACUACGUGCCAGCAGAGGCUCGUGGAAUUGCAGGUGUCAGCGGAAUGAAAUGCGUAGAUAUCUGCAGGAACACCCGUGGCGAAAGCGGCGAGCUGGAUCACUACUGAAACGCCCCUGAGGAACGAAAGCUAGGGGAGCAAACAGGAUUAGAUACCCUGGUAGUCCUAGCCCUAAACGAUCAGGACUUGGAGGUAGCCGCCCGCUUCGGGCGUCGUCCCGGAGCUAACGCGUUAAGUCCUGCACCUGGGGAGUACGAGUCGCCAAGACUGAAACUCCCCAGGAAUUGACGGGGGCAACCGCACAAGCGGUGGAACAUGUGGUUCAAUUCGACGACUACGCGAGGAACCUCUACCUGAAGGCUCGAAAUGCUAGUGACCAGCUUUAG
rnacentral:rRNA from 1 species